UCAGGACGAACGCUGGCGGCGUGCCUAAUACAUGCAAGUCGAACGGUCUUUCUAUGGAAGCUUGCUUCCACUGAGAAGAUAGUGGCGAACGGGUGAGUAACACGUGGGUAACCUGCCCAUAAGAGGGGGAUAACAUCCGGAAACGGGUGCUAAUACCGCAUAGUUUUCUUGAUCGCAUGAUCGGGAAGGAAAGACGGCCUUUGUGCUGUCGCUUAUGGAUGGACCCGCGGCGUAUUAGUUAGUUGGUGAGGUAACGGCUCACCAAGACGAUGAUACGUAGCCGACCUGAGAGGGUGAUCGGCCACAUUGGGACUGAGACACGGCCCAAACUCCUACGGGAGGCAGCAGUAGGGAAUCUUCCGCAAUGGACGAAAGUCUGACGGAGCAACGCCGCGUGAGUGAAGAAAAGGUUUUCGGAUCGUAAAACUCUGUUGUCAGAGAAGAACAAGUUGGAGAGUAACUGCUCCAGCCUUGACGGUAUCUGACCAGAAAGCCACGGCUAACUACGUGCCAGCCGCAGC
rnacentral:rRNA from 1 species